AAACCAACAGGGAUUGCCCUAGUAACGGCGAGUGAAGCGGCAACAGCUCAAAUUUGAAAUCUGGCCCUCGGGUCCGAGUUGUAAUUUGUAGAGGAUGCUUUUGGCGCGGUGCCUUCCGAGUUCCCUGGAACGGGACGCCUUAGAGGGUGAGAGCCCCGUACGGUUGGACGCCAAGCCUCUGUAAAGCUCCUUCGACGAGUCGAGUAGUUUGGGAAUGCUGCUCUAAAUGGGAGGUAAAUUUCUUCUAAAGCUAAAUAUUGGCCAGAGACCGAUAGCGCACAAGUAGAGUGAUCGAAAGAUGAAAAGCACUUUGAAAAGAGGGUUAAAUAGCACGUGAAAUUGUUGAAAGGGAAGCGUUUACGAUCAGACCUUUUCUUAGCGGAUCAUCCGGUGUUCUCACCGGUGCACUUCGCUAAGUUUAGGCCAGCAUCGGUUUCUGUAGGGGGAUAAAAGCUCUGGGAACGUAGCUCCUUCGGGAGUGUUAUAGCCCUCUGCAUAAUACCCUUACGGGGACCGAGGACCGCGCUUCGGCAAGGAUGCUGGCGUAAUGGUCGUCAACGAC
rnacentral:rRNA from 1 species